CGGGGUGUGGCGCAGUUGGUAGCGUGCUUGGUUCGGGACCAAGAGGCCGCGAGUUCAAGUCUCGCCACUCCGACCA
rnacentral:tRNA from 1 species